rnacentral:rRNA from 1 species
AUUGAACGCUGGCGGCAGGCCUAACACAUGCAAGUCGAGCGGUAACAGGGCUAGCUUGCUAGUUGCUGACGAGCGGCGGACGGGUGCGUAACACGUAGGAAUCUACCCAGUAGCGGGGGAUAGCCCGGAGAAAUCCGGAUUAAUACCGCAUACGCCCUACGGGGGAAAGCAGGGGAUCCGUUCUUUCGAGAGUGGACCUUGCACUAUUGGAUGAGCCUGCGUCGGAUUAGCUAGUUGGUGGGGUAAAGGCCUACCAAGGCAACGAUCCGUAGCUGGUCUGAGAGGAUGAUCAGCCACACUGGGACUGAGACACGGCCCAGACUCCUACGGGAGGCAGCAGUGGGGAAUAUUGCACAAUGGGCGCAAGCCUGAU